CGCUGGUUUUUUUCCGCGGUGAUAUUCCAAAAAAAGGUUAUCACCGGGUAAAAACUGGUAGA
rnacentral:pre_miRNA from 1 species